GCUGGCGGCGUGCUUAACACAUGCAAGUCGCACGAGAACGCUUCAGCUUGCUGAAGUUAGUAAAGUGGCGCACGGGUGAGUAACGCGUGGGUAAUCUACCCCCGAAUUGGGGAUAACAUCGCGAAAGCGAUGCUAAUACCGAAUAAUAUCUUAAAAACUUCGGUUUUAAAGAUCAAAGGUGGCCUCUACAUGUAAGCUUCUGUUUGGGGGUGAGCCCGCGUACCAUUAGCUUGUUGGUAGGGUAAUGGCCUACCAAGGCUGCGAUGGUUAGCUGGUCUGAGAGGAUGAUCAGCCACACUGGAACUGACACACGGUCCAGACUCCUACGGGAGGCAGCAGUGAGGAAUUUUGCGCAAUGGGGGAAACCCUGACGCAGCAACGCCGCGUGAGUGAUGAAGGCUUUCGGGUCGUAAAGCUCUGUCAAGUGGGAAGAACCCACAUGGUGAUAAUACCACCAUGUGU
rnacentral:rRNA from 1 species